ACUUACGGUAUUUUUAUAAUUUUUUUUUGUCGUUUUUGUAUUUUUUUGAAAUUAUGUUUUUUUCUCCAUAUUUUUGUAAAUACCCCAUUGUUAACCCAAUAAUGGACAGGCCCAUAGAUUAUGGCCGUACCCCAAAAUGUGAAAAGCCCAAUAUGAUGGCCCAAUCGAUCAAGAACUGAAAACACGUCCCUGCCCCUCGCCUCCCUCCCUCUCUCUUCUCUUCUCUUCCUUCCCUGAAACACAAUCAGCUCAGUGACGACCUUCUCUUCGCCGGAGGAAACUCAGACAACGGCGCAACUCGCUAAUAAGGAGACUUCUAAUGUAGGACAUUGGUUUGGUAAUGAUAAAUAGUGGUACUAAUGAUAAGAUUGGAUAUCGACUGAAAAUGCAUAGACAAUUUUCGCUUGAUCUGACAACAUUGGAUAUCAACUGAAAAUACAAUUGAUAUCCAAUCUUGUCAGAUAAAGCUAAAAUUGCCUAUGCAUUUUGAAUAAGAUUGUCGCCUUUUAUUUGGUACAAGGGCUGCUGCAUAAGUUAAAAAUUGAGCAAAAAAAGCAAUUUGGAUAUGGAGAGAAGAAGACAGUCUCGGAACUUGUCAUGUGAACAAGAUAUGUUGAGUUUAGAAAAUAAUGACAGCGACGCUUUGAUCUUGCAAAGUAAGAAAAAGAACAAGGCAUGGAAAGUCAAGAAAUCAAGGCAAACCCAGCUCCUAAAUUGAGCAAAUCUCAAAAAAAGAAGAUGAAAAAGUUGGAGGAAGAGAAGGAAAAAGCACUUUUGCUAACAAAAAGUUUGGAGAUUUUACAGAAAUACACAAUUCCAGAUGGUGCAUAUUCUCUUUUAAAGUCAACUAGAAACAUUGGUCAGGUUUGUAUUUGUUGCAUAUGUUUAACACUAACAAAAUCAUGAUGAAACAAUUAUCUUAUCCAGUUUUUCAUUUGUAUGCUGAAACUUUCAAGAAAAAACGUAGAAUGGUAGUUGAAGUUUCCAAAGCUGGCUUCGAAGUCCCGUGUAGUGGCCAACCAUUUACGAGAAGGGACGAUAUAGUGUUUCUAAUAAGUGUGAAUCUGAGUUGAAUGAAAGACAUUCAAAUCAGCAAUUUUACUGGGAUGAGAUGCAGCCAACAUCGGUAGAAAAAGAAUUUCAAAAUAAUACGAAUGUAUCCAGUUGACAAUGAUGAGCCUAUUUUGAGCAAUGAACCUGCAGUUGUAGAUUGCGGCAAAAGUGCAAAUAAGUUGAAAGUCGAUCCUAAGUGCUCAAGAUGUGGUGGUGGCUUUAAGGAGGAUAUAAUACUUGCUAUUUGGAAGUGCUCUUCGGUAAGUGCAAUAGUUUUUGACUUUCCAUGUUUGCUAUCUUAGCUUUUUACAUUGGUCAUUUAAAUUGUCAUCAGUUUCAUCUGUUUUGUCUUGGUGAUUUUUAUGGUCUGCCAUGUCAGCUUUCAGCUUUUAUAUUCCUUUCUUGUUUAAGUCAGUGCCAGUUGGAUUCCGCUGGGGUUGUUAGUUAGCCGAGCUAUUUCUUUUGCAAUUGAGUAUAUAAUAUUCGGUUGUUGCUUUUUUCUAACUAACUCUCUCAUUUUUGAUAGAAUCGUUUUGAUUCUUGCUCUGCUAGAGAAAAAUAUUUUUCUGGUGUUUCUGUGUUAUAUGCAGAUAAAAAUUCAGUGAAUCUUCAAGAGGUUGAAGAAGGAGUUCGAAUCUGCAUUGUUUGAGGAGAGUUCAAACUGAACUGCUGAAGGAUCUUCAGCUUGUUGGAAGCAAGAAGAGCUUGUUUUCUUAGAUCUAAGUGUGCUUAGAUCAGUUAUUUUGAUUGUGUUCAAGAAUUAGGUAACAUCGUGUAAAAUUAUUUCAGAUUAUGUAGUUUGAUUUGUAAAAUCAGAACUGAUGUAUAUAAUUGAAUUGAUUUUAUAGUGGAUGUUACUUUACCCGAUUCUUGAGGACCCAAUCACUACUCGGUUGGAAUGUGUUUCCAAUGCAGACACCUGUGGCACAUAAGGAAUAAAUAGGUGAAUGGAGGAUUCUUAAAGCUGAUGCUACUAUAGAAUGGUUUACUAAGUAUAUUGUAGAUUUUCAAGGCUGAUCUUCUAAGAAUACAUUCAGCUUUACUCCUUCGAACCAAGAUUAGAAGUGGACUCCCAUUGUUGUGAAUGUGGUGAAAAUCAAUGUGGAUGUUGGUCUUUGCUCAUCUAGUCGAUCUUUUGGUACUGGUGUGGUAGCUAGAAUAGAAACCAUGAUGGUCAGGUACUUUGGGCUUAAAACAAAUUUUAUUCAGCCAUCCGUUUUGGGAUUUGGGAUUUGGGAUUAUGCUUACGGUGAAAAAAAAGCUGCAGAAUUCGAUUAUAGCUUUUGACCACCUUGUUGCGAUUCAACUCGUCAAAUCCAUCGAAAGAGGUUGUCGUGAUAUGUUGAUAGUUUUCUUAAAUACAUUGAUUUCCUUUGUUGAAUUUCGAGUAGGAUUAAUUUUUGUUUUGAGCAUAGAGACGUGGUAGUGCCCGUUGUUGCUAGUCCUUUUGUUGAUAAGGACUUGCCAUUCCAUUUGUAACUAUUUGUUGAUUUUAUGAAAUCUUUCCUUUAAAAAAAAGACAGUAUUAUACCACAUUAUUUUUUUA